AUGCAAGUCCAGGCGGCCGCUACCAUACGGCUUUGUCUUGCGGAUCAGGUCAUGUAUCAUGUCAUGGACGAAGAUACUUCUAAGGGAAUUUGGGACAAGUUGGCAAAUCGUUAUAUGUCCAAGUCAGCGACCAAUAAGUUGUAUUUGAAGCAAAAGUUCUAUGGGCUGAAGAUGCAGGAGGGGUCGGAUAUUGUGGAGCAUGUGAAUGCCUUUAAUCAAUCGGUCACGGAUCUAGCACGUCUGGAUGUGAAGAUUGAGGACGAGGAUAAGGCACUACUUCUUGUUUCAUUGCCACUGUCCUAUGAGCAUUUGGUCAUUACGUUGACACAUGAAAAGACAACCAUCAAUAAUGAGGAAGUCACUGCAGCGUUGCUUGGACAUGAGUUGAUGAAGCAAAAGAAUGCUGCAGAAAAGGGAGAGUACUCAAGGUUUAGGGUUGGCAGUUAA
rnacentral:rRNA from 1 species